UACGGAAGGCAGCAGUGGGGAAUAUUGCACAAUGGGCGCAAGCCUGAUGCAGCCAUGCCGCGUGUAUGAAGAAGGCCUUCGGGUUGUAAAGUACUUUCAGCGGGGAGGAAGGCGGUGAAGUUAAUAGCUUCACCGAUUGACGUUACCCGCAGAAGAAGCACCGGCUAACUCCGUGCCAGCAGCCGCGGUAAUACGGAGGGUGCAAGCGUUAAUCGGAAUUACUGGGCGUAAAGCGCACGCAGGCGGUCUGUCAAGUCGGAUGUGAAAUCCCCGGGCUUAACCUGGGAACUGCAUUCGAAACUGGCAGGCUAGAGUCUUGUAGAGGGGGUAGAAUUCCAGGUGUAGCGGUGAAAUGCGUAGAGAUCUGGAGGAAUACCGGUGGCGAAGGCGGCCCCUGGGACAAAGCUGACGCUCAGGUGCGAAAGCGUGGGGAGCGAAACGAGGAUUAGGAUAC
rnacentral:rRNA from 1 species